rnacentral:tRNA from 1 species
GCAAGCUCUGCUUUUCUGGCGGUGCACUGAAAAUCCGCAAGCUCGUAUAUUUUUUACGAGCUUGCU